UUUCCGUAGGUGAACCUGCGGAAGGAUCAUUACCGAGUUUAAAGAUUUUUUUUUUUAAAAAAUCUCUACUCCCAUCCUUGUUUAUUAUGAGCUGUGAAGCAGCUUCGGUAGGCCAUCUUUCUUUACGGAGAGAUGUCGGCUCUUAAAACCAGUUGGCUUGUGCCUACCGAAGUAACUAAUUCUGAUAAUUAAUAAUGUCUGAGAACAAUAAUUAAAUAAUUAAAACUUUCAACAACGGAUCUCUUGGUUCUG
rnacentral:misc_RNA from 1 species